AUUAGAAUGGGCGCAGCCUGAUCAGCCAUGCCGCGUGUGUGAAGAAGGCCUUCGGGUUGUAAAGCACUUUCAGUAGGGAGGAAGGCUUCGGGUUAAUACCCUGGAGUACUUGACGUUACCUACAGAAGAAGCACCGGCUAAUUUCGUGCCAGCAGCCGCGGUAAUAC
rnacentral:rRNA from 1 species